rnacentral:rRNA from 1 species
UACGUAGGGAGCAAGCGUUGUCCGGAAUCAUUGGGCGUAAAGCGCGCGUAGGCGGCCCUGUAAGUCCGUUGUGAAAGUCAAAGGCUCAACCUUUGAAAGCCGAUGGAUACUGCAGGGCUAGAGUCCGGAAGAGGCGAGUGGAAUUCCUGGUGUAGCGGUGGAAUGCGCAGAUAUCAGGAGGAACACCAAUAGCGAAGGCACUCUGCUGGGCCGACACUGACACUGAGAGACGAAAGCUAGGGGAGCGAACGGG